CUAGGCUACAGGCUGGGGCUUCCGAGCGGCUCCAGCGCCGAACGCCAGCAGUUGCCGGAAGUGGCGUGUCCGCGGUUGUUAGUCGCGUUGCAUGCUGGGGGAAAUGGCCUAAGUGGGCGGCGGUGGGGGGAGGGGGCUGGGUCGGACCGAGGUGGGUGCUGUUGCCGCGGGCUUUGACAUGGGUUCCCCCUGAUGGCGGCCGCCCCGGGAGGCCCCAGAUAACACCGGCCUGGUCCCUGUGCGGAGCCACCCUCUGCCUGGCCAUGCCAGGCCCAGCCGCCCCUGCAGGAGGCCGGAGAUGGAACCCACUUCUCAGCCCUUUGCUGCUUCUCUGCCAACCAGAUGGACCACUGAAUUGUAUAAGGUAUGCCAUUUUGGUAGUCAUUUUGGGUGUUCUUUUUUUUUUUUUUAAAGAAAGCGUGACAUUACAGAUCUGUCUCUGGAUGGCUUGGCGUGGAGGGGGAAGGAGAACAUACAGCACACAUGGGAAGCAUUGAGUUUAGUUUGCUGCUGCUCCAAUAACUUUUGUAACAAAUAUUAAACCCUGCAAUAAUGUGAUGGAAAAUUACUAUUGAGGUUUGCAGUGUUGUGUCAAAUUUUCAGGGUAAUGGCACCUGUAUGUUUCCCUUGAGGGGACCCACUUAAAGAUUUCUGACUCCUAGCCAUCACCUCUACUGCAUGAAGGCUUGCAUCUCACUCCCUUUUAACUGAGGGUUUUAAGGCUGCCCAACUCCCCCACCUAUACUUCGAUAUCUCCAGCAAACCAGUCUUCCUAAAAGGCCAAUGCCUGUGCUUUGCUUUCUCUCCAAGGGCUAUGGCCAGUGUAUUGCUGGCAGUUACAAGUUGCCAUGCACAUUUAUUCUUAAGGUAAAACAUUACAGAGAAAGCCUAUAAAAAAUAAAAUAUCUACAUGCAUGCUCAACAGCUCAUGAGAGGUCACCCCCAGCUCCAACAUAGGGUUCUAGUAGGCCUCAGUCCUUCAGACCUCGCAACUGUGGGUUACCAAGUUCACAUCAGUCUUAAGAUCAGGAACCAGACCUGAGGCUGGGCAGAUCUACCAUUUGAUCUACCUUUGGUCUCAGGAGCGGCUCCAGGGUUUUUGGUGCCCUAGGCGGGGGUCCUUCCACGCUCCCAAUCAGCAGCAAUUCGGCGACGGGGGGGGGGGGGUCCUUCCGUGCUCCCGGUCUUCAGGGCACUUCAGC
rnacentral:lncRNA from 1 species